UGAGUGGCCGCGUACAGCAUUUGAUAUUUGGAAAAUGCCUCAACUUAGGCAUGUCCACUUUGAUCAGAGUAACAGAUUUCACCUCACACAUCCUCUGAGUCUGAGCAGCAACAUUGACAUUGUCGUCAUGGAAAACCUGCAAACACUUGUCGGAGUAACAAAUUUCAAGUGUAGUGAGGCGGUAGUUAAGAGAAUUCCUAACAUAAAGAAAUUGGGAAUAGUAUAUCACAAGUUUAAGGGAGUUUGGCCGGGUGGUGAUUAUUAUUGUCUCAAAUAUCUUGAAUGUUUUGGUAAACUCGAAUCCUUACACUGCAAGGUCGAUUGCACGAUCCCUGAUCAUGAGAAGAACCUCGCCUCCCCACGCUCCUUGUUGAAGUGUAGAUGCAAUGACCAUUUGCAAGAGAUUACAUUCCCACACUCCCUCAAGAAGUUGAGUCUCAGGGUGAGCAAAAG
rnacentral:lncRNA from 1 species